CCUACGGGAGGCAGCAGUGGGGAAUAUUGGACAAUGGGCGAAAGCCUGAUCCAGCCAUGCCGCGUGUGUGAAGAAGGCCUUCGGGUUGUAAAGCACUUUCAGUGGGGAAGAAAGCCUUGGGGCUAAUACCCUCGAGGAAGGACAUCACCCACAGAAGAAGCACCGGCUAACUCCGUGCCAGCAGCCGCGGUAAUACGGAGGGUGCGAGCGUUAAUCGGAAUUACUGGGCGUAAAGCGCGCGUAGGCGGUCUGAUAAGCCGGUUGUGAAAGCCCCGGGCUCAACCUGGGAACGGCAUCCGGAACUGUCAGGCUAGAGUGCAGGAGAGGAAGGUAGAAUUCCCGGUGUAGCGGUGAAAUGCGUAGAGAUAGGGAGGAAUACCAGUGGCGAAGGCGGCCUUCUGGACUGACACUGACGCUGAGGUGCGAAAGCGUGGGUAGCAAACAGGAUUAGAUACCCCGGUAGUC
rnacentral:rRNA from 1 species